rnacentral:sRNA from 1 species
CGACCACUUAAGACGCCUGCGCGGCGUCA